rnacentral:rRNA from 1 species
UAGGGAAUCUUCGGCAAUGGACGAAAGUCUGACCGAGCAACGCCGCGUGAGUGAAGAAGGUUUUCGGAUCGUAAAACUCUGUUGUUAGAGAAGAACAAGGACGUUAGUAACUGAACGUCCCCUGACGGUAUCUAACCAGAAAGCCACGGCUAACUACGUGCCAGCAGCCGCGGUAAUACGUAGGUGGCAAGCGUUGUCCGGAGUUAUUGGGCGUAAAGCGGGCGCAGGCGGUUUCUUAAGUCUGAUGUGAAAGCCCCCGGCUCAACCGGGGAGGGUCAUUGGAAACUGGGAGACUUGAGUGCAGAAGAGGAGAGUGGAAUUGCAUGUGUAGCGGUGAGAUGCGUAGAUAUAUGGAGGAACACCAGUGGCGAAGGCGGCUCUCUGGUCUGUAACUGACGCUGAGGCUCGAAAGCGUGGGGAGCAAACAGG